rnacentral:rRNA from 1 species
GACGAACGCUGGCGGCGUGCUUAACACAUGCAAGUCGAACGGUAAGGCCCUUCGGGGUACACGAGUGGCGAACGGGUGAGUAACACGUGGGUGAUCUGCCCUGCACUUCGGGAUAAGCCUGGGAAACUGGGUCUAAUACCGGUUAGGACCCUGGGAUGCAUGUCCUGGGGUGGAAAGCUUUUGCGGUGUGGGAUGGGCCCGCGGCCUAUCAGCUUGGUGGUGGGGUGAUGGCCUACCAAGGCGACGACGGGUAGCCGGCCUGAGAGGGUGACCGGCCACACUGGGACUGAGAUACGGCCCAGACCCCUACGGGAGGCAGCAGUGGGGAAUAUUGCACAAUGGGCGCAAGCCUGAUGCAGCGACGCCGCGUGAGGGAUGACGGCCUUCGGGUUGAAAACCUCUUUCAGCACCGACGAAGCGCAAGUGACGGUAGGUGCAGAAGAAGGACCGGCCAACUACGUGCCAGCCGCCGCCGUAA